rnacentral:lncRNA from 1 species
CUUAAACGUAGUUGUGGACGCUCUUUAGGUAGGCUCUAAAUUAACUGCAGAUGGAGGAGUAGCACUGGGGGGAACAGCCAAAGGAGCAGGCUGCCCCCCAUCAGCCCUUCCCUCCGCUCUCUGCGCUGCCGGGGGGCACAGGCAGAGCAGUGUUCAGUGCAGGCACCCCAGCUUGCCCUGUCUGCACUCUCAGCGAGGACCUGCAGCAGCUGACGGGCUGCACCAGGGAUUAAAGGAGCCUACGGUCUCUGGCACACCUGCCUCCCAACCUGAAAGCGAACAGCGAUGAGAUGGAGAUCACUGAGCAGAAAAUGGAGGGAGAGGCUCCUCUGCCCUCUUGCCAUGCACCAGGGCAGGGGGCGGCAGGAGGAGCAGACACACUUAAGAUGACUUCUCUAAAGAGGAUCGUGGAGGCGCUAGGAGCCAAAGGCUGUUCAAAGCAUCCGGAGCCUGCAGCAGAGGGAGAGACAUGCAAGUCCUGAACUGGCUAGGGCAACGCCCCCCACGCUUCAACUGUGCGAGGACAUCAAGGAAAGGGGAUUUUUUUGUUGUUGUUUCUUCCCUUUUCCACUUCUCACAUUUCUGCACAAUUACGUUUGAUAAUGACGCCCACCUCCCAAAAGGCUGUGCAUCAAUUAGCAAGGGAAGGAAGGACACACAUCAUUAAUUACACACCGGCCUGCGAAAUACGAACACGGAAUACAGCAUAACGUUCUAAAAAUAGCAGGAGGCCUGCCUUGUUUAGGUCAAGUUUUAUUUUAAUUCCCUUAAUAAAACAUCUGAUAUUAAACAACGGAGCGGAAGACGCGCUGCUGUUUAUCCUCAGUGGGUGCUUCAGACAGAUCUGCUGUGAUUUAAUCUGCACAGCAGAAUGCAAAGCCAUAGAAUGUAAGUUUAUGCGAGCGUGAGACCUAAUAGUUCUUUAAACUUAUGCAGCUCUUAUCAAUCUAAGUGAUCCCAAGCUAUUCUACCUUAUUCUACCUUACAUAUGGGAUUUGUGUUUUGGCAAGAUUCAGAUGUGAUCGAUUAAAUGCUGAGCCAAAAUGCUGGUACGGAUACAGACAGUCAGAGACAAGGAGAAAAGCUACACGCUGCUGUGGGUAUUCACAGACAGGGUUAUAGUGAGCAAAUUCUGCUCAAGUAGGGCUGAGGGAACAGAAAGGGAUGAGAAAAGGACAUGCAGUGCG